UACGGGAGGCAGCAGUGGGGAAUAUUGCACAAUGGGCGAAAGCCUGAUGCAGCUAUGCCGCGUGUAUGAAGAAGGCCUUAGGGUUGUAAAGUACUUUCAUCGGGGAGGAAAAACAAAACUAAUAAUUUUAUUUCUUGACGUUACCCGAAAAAGAAGCACCGGCUAACUCCGUGCCAGCAGCCGCGGUAAUACGGAGGGUGCUAGCGUUAAUGAGAAUUACUGGGCGUAAAGAGCACGUAGGUGGUUUUUUUAAGUCAGAUGUGAAAUCCCUGGGCUUAACCUAGGAACUGCAUUUUGAAACUGAAAUACUAGAGUAUCGUAGAGGGAGGUAGAAUUCUAGGUGUAGCGGUGAAAUGCGUAGAUAUCUGGAGGAAUACCUGUGGCGAAAGCGGCCUCCUAAACGAAUACUGACACUGAGGUGCGAAAGCGUGGGGAGCAAACAGGGAUUAGAUACC
rnacentral:rRNA from 1 species